UAAAGUCUAAUCUGCCCACUGAUAUAAUAUUAAAGGGSUGCAGUAUUUUGACUGUACAAAGGUAGCAUAAUCAUUAGUCUUUUAAUUGAAGACUUGUAUGAAUGAUUGGAUGAAAUAUAAACUGUCUCUAAUAUUAUUAGUUAGAAUUUAAUUUUUUUAUUAAAAAGUAAAAAUAAAUUUAAAAGACGAGAAGACCCUAUAGAGUUUUAUAAUUAAUUUAAUUGAAAUUAUUUAUAAAGAUAAUUUUAAAUUAAUAAAUUAAAAUUAAGUUAAUUAUUUUGUUGGGGUGAUAAAAAAAUAAAAAUAACUUUUUUUAAUAAAUAUAUAUAUAUAUAUAUAUAUAUAUAUAUAUAUUGUAAACAAAAAUAAAUGAUUUUUUGAUCCAGAAUUUUUGAUUAUAAGAAAAAAUUACCUUAGGGAUAACAGCGUAAUUUUUUUUUUUAGUUCAAAUAAGAAAAACAGUUUGCGACCUCGAUGUUGGAUUAAGGAAAAAUUUAAAUGCAAAAGUUUAAAAUUUUG
rnacentral:rRNA from 1 species